AUUGAACGCUGGCGGCAGGCCUAACACAUGCAAGUCGAGCGGUUGAAGGGAGCUUGCUUCUGGAUUCAGCGGCGGACGGGUGAGUAUUGCCUAUGAAUCUGCCUGCUAGUGGGGGGUAACAUCCGGUAACGGGCGCUAAUACUGCAUCCUUCCUGAGGGUGAUACAUGGGGUUCUUCGGACCUCUCGCUAUCAGUUGAGACUAGGUCGGAUUAGCUAGUUGGUGGGGUAAAGGCCUACCAAGGCGACGCUCCGUAACUGGUCUGAGAGGAUGAUCAGUCACACUGGAACUGGGACACGGUCCAGACUCCUACGGGAGGCAGCAGUGGGGAAUAUUGGACAGUGGGGGAAAGCCUGAUCAAGCCAGGCGGCGUGGGUGAAGAAGGUCUUCGGAUUGUAAAGCACGUUGAGUGGGGAGGAAGGGCAGUAAGUUGAUAACUUGCUGUUUUGACGGUACCAACAGAAUAAGCACCGGCUAACUUCGUG
rnacentral:rRNA from 1 species